rnacentral:rRNA from 1 species
AGCGAACGUUUGCGGCGGGCCUAACACAUGCAAGUCGAACGGGUUGGCAACAACCAGUGGCGCACGGGUGCGUAACACGUAGGUAAUCUACCCUCAAGUUCGGGAUAACGAUCUGAAAGGAUCGCUAAUACCGGAUGUGUUCCGAAAGGAAGAAAGACCCGCAAGGGUCGCUAGAGGACGAGCCUGCGGCCCAUCAGCUAGUUGGUGAGGUAAUGGCUCACCAAGGCUAAGACGGGUAGCUGGUCUGAGAGGAUGAUCAGUCACACUGGAACUGAGACACGGUCCAGACUCCUACGGGAGGCAGCAGUGGGGAAUAUUGCGCAAUGGGCGAAAGCCUGACGCAGCCACGCCGCGUGAGCGAUGAAGGCCUCGGUCGUAAGACGUCUGUGGGAGGAGACGAAGAAAGACCUGUGAAGAGACGGGCCGUUCGACAGUAUCUCCUUACGUCAAGACACCGGCGUAACUACCGUCGCCACGCAGCCGCGGU